CGUGUUAUCUUGUAAUAUUUUUAUGUAGAAAUGUUCAGCUAAUGGUACAGAAUGUGGUGUUUGUCAUUCAAGGGAUCUGUUGUUCAGGUUUAGUGAAGAUGUGGUUACAUGUCCUAACUGCUCCUCACACUUUCACUGGUUAUAGCAAGUUCCUGUUAAAGGUUCAAGUACAUUAGGUUAAUGACACUAAGAGGAUAAGUACAAUUCUCUGCUAUUGAAGACUACAUUGAGAA